UGCCAGCCGCCGCGGUAAUACGGAGGAUGCAAGCGUUAUCCGGAUUCAUUGGGUUUAAAGGGUGCGCAGGUGGGAAUGUAAGUCAGUGGUGAAAUACUGCCGCUUAACGGUAGAGCUGCCAUUGAUACUGCGUUUCUUGAGUAUGGUUGAGGUAGGUGGAAUGUGUUGUGUAGCGGUGAAAUGCAUAGAUAUGACACAGAACGCCGAUUGCGAAGGCAACUUACUAAGCCAUUACUGACGCUGAGGCACGAAAGCGUGGGUAGCGAACAGGAUUAGAUACCCUGGUAGUCCACGCCGUAAACGAUGUUCACUCGCUGUUUGCGAUACACAGUAAGCGGCUGAGCGAAAGCAUUAAGUGAACCACCUGGGGAGUACGAUCGCAAGGUUGAAACUCAAAGGAAUUGACGG
rnacentral:rRNA from 1 species